ACGCUCGACACCUACGGGAGACAGCAGUGGGGAAUAUUGCACAAUGGGGGAAACCCUGAUGCAGCGACGCCGCGUGAGCGAAGAAGUAUUUCGGUAUGUAAAGCUCUAUCAGCAGGGAAGAAACUGACGGUACCUGACUAAGAAGCACCGGCUAAAUACGUGCCAGAAGCCGCGGUAAUCUGAGCGGCUGGCAAGGC
rnacentral:rRNA from 1 species